UACGAAGGGGGCGAGCGUUGUUCGGAAUUACUGAGCGUAAAGGACGCGUAGGCGACGACUCAAGUUAGAUGUGAAAGUCCUGGGCUUAACCUGGGGACUGCAUUUGAUACUGAAUUGCUUGAAUUCAGGAGAGGAUAGCGGAAUUCCCAGUGUAGAGGUGAAAUUCGUAGAUAUUGGGAAGAACACCGGUGGCGAAGACGGCUAUCUGGACCGACAUUGACGCUGAGGCGCGAAAGCGUAGGGAGCAAACAGG
rnacentral:rRNA from 1 species